rnacentral:rRNA from 1 species
UACGAAGGGAGCUAGCGUUGUUCGGAAUUAUUGGGCGUAAAGCGCGCGCAGGCGGUCCUUUAAGUCUGAUGUGAAAGCCCACGGCUCAACCGUGGAGGGUCAUUGGAAACUGGGGGGACUUGAGUACAGAAGAGAAGAGUGGAAUUCCACGUGUAGCGGUGAAAUGCGUAGAUAUCUGGAGGAACACCGGUGGCGAAGGCGGCGAUCCUGGACCGGCAUUGACGCCUGAGGCGCGAAAGCCAGGGGAGCAAAACGGGG